ACAUUAUGCAAGAAUCAUCAGCUCUUGGGUUAUCCACAGCAGCCCUUCACUAUGAAAGAGAGAUUUCAUGGUUUAUGGGGGUGGAGAAGAUUGUGCCGUCAUCAUUUCGCCACAUGAGAAAUAAGGACGGCAAAACCCCAAAGCAAUUGUUUUUGAAAGAGCACAUGAAAUUAAAGAUGAACGCA